rnacentral:misc_RNA from 1 species
GUGUAUGAAUAAGCACCAAUUUUUGGUGAAUUAUUAAUAUAUACUUAAUUACCGAUAAUAGUAUUAAUUUCUGUCAAGUCUGUCCAGACUUUUGUUUUAUUUAAUCCACUACUUAAUUUUCAACCUAAAGUCUUCAUCAUGGACAGAAAGUGAUAGCGUAGUUAGCUCCACCGCUGCAAGAAAAGGUGCUACUUGAAUCAUC